AAGGGAUGAUCUUGGCUCUUACAAAAUGACAAUCAAAAACAUGUCCUAAACCCAAAAACCAGCAACCUUUCAUCUCCGCCCACAGCUUAGCAAUCCUCACAUCACAUACAAUUAUAUGAUAUAAAAACAUCACAGAGUCUUUAGUUUACUUUUAGUCAGCAGCAUUUUAAAACCAAACUUUAGAUAGGAAGGACACGUAAUACAAAUAGCAUUAACAAAACGACAAGGACACGUUGCGAAAUCCAAAACGAAACGACACUAUCUACAGACUACAGGCAACUCAUCCGGUGAGUUGGUGACCCAUCACAUUCAUUUACAUCGCUGGAGCGUAUCAUCCACUCAGUGAUGAUGCUUGCUCCUAGUCUCCCCACUGUAAAGCCUGCAAAAUCACAAAAACCAAUUCAAAGCAACAUCAACUCCCGAUCCAAAAACACGACGCCCCGAUCACGGAUCAGAUCCAUCUAAUAAUAAUAAUAAUAAUAAUAAUAAUUAAAAAAAAAAGGAUAAUCAAUAUAGUUAAAUUACUACUUUAAUCAUCUACCGCAAAGUAAACAGAUCCAACAGCCCUAGCUAUAGUAGGAUCUAAUCUUGUCCAUGAUCACUACAUAACACAAAAUAUAUUAUUUAUUACAUCAUUUGGCUUUAACUAAGGAAGAACUGGCAGGGAUUCACAAAAGAGUGUGAAUUGAGUGAUCAUUACUGAAUAAGACAAAGAUCUAUUUCAACGCGCCCGUGAGACAGAGUGCCACGUUUUCCUCCUUCCUCUUAGCCUUUAUUUGGUUGCUGAGAGAAGCCAGUAAGAACGACCAAAAAAAACAAAACAAAAACAGAGAUGUUUGAGUUGAUGCUCCAUCGAUUUGGUUUCAUCAUUUUUCUUUUUAAAACACACACACACGCACGCACACAUGAAUAUAAUAAGCUGCGGUUUUUUUUCUGAUCGGGGAAUUAAUUCAGUUAUAAAAAAAAAAGGGGGGAGAAAAAGAGAACAAAUUAAUAAAUAAAUAAAUAUAUUUAUCAGCAACCGAACAUGAUUAAACAUAUAUAGAUAUAGUACAAGUUGCCUUUGCGUUCAACUGAUAAGGGUCUAAAGAAAGAAUAAUAAGUUAGAACAAGCAUGCAGCAUCUAUGCUAGUGAAGAGCGAGCUAGCGAGCGUGCGAGCGAGUGAGUGAGGACACACGCACGUACUUACCAGUCAUAAACAGUGGGAGAGUUAGGAUGUGUGGGCUUGUCAAAGACCUCUGCACCGAUACCCCUAGUAGCAAGGUUGCUACCGGGGUGAAACACGCUCCUCCACACGUUGUCCUUACGCGCCGACAGCGGCGUCGUCGGCGUCACUGGCGUCGACGGUGCCCCUGGACUCGCUGGCAUUGACAGAGACCUCUGGAACUUGCCCGACGACGACUCCGCCUCACCACCCUCUACACAAUAACAAUAAGAAUCACACAUAAUUAAAAAACUGAGAAAAAAAACUUAUAUAUAUUUUUUCAUAAUCUUUGGAGAAGAAGAUACUGAAACAUAACAAUAAAUGAGAUAUUUUUAAGAAGAAAAAAAAAAAAAAAAAACUACCUUUGACUGCUAAGGGUGUUGUGGUGAUUUUCCUCAGCCUGCCAAGGCCACGAUCAGGCUGAGGCCCUGCCACAACAUCGUCCCAAAGCUUCUCUAGCAUCUUUAAAUUUACAAUUUAGCGGCUAGUUUCUAAAUCUUUAACCUCUUCUUCAGUGAGAUCGGCUACUUCCUCUAUUGUUUGUUUAUAUAGACAAGUUGGUAAUUGAUAAUAUCUAUAAUUGAAUCUUCCAGAUGCGAUUUUUUCUACUUCCCAAUUUCUAUUUGUUUUUUGGGGUGUCUCGAGUGUGACAGAUGUUGUAGUAUGGUUGGAGUGGACAUAGCGAUUAGCUAAUAAUCGAGUGUGGAAAUUGGUGAAUAGAUGGAUAAGGAUGAAGACUCAGUAAAGCGGGCCCCGCAAAUUAAUAUCUGAUCUUUCUACUCUUCCGGAUCCACUGCGAGAGUCCGCGGGGUGCUUUUACGAAUGUGCACUUGAUUUUGAAACCUAUGUCCUAUUUUGAGCAGUGACGUGGGGUCCAUCAAGAUGGGGGACGUGGACUCUGAUACUGACUUGUGGAGCCCAUGGUUUUUUUUUUUGAGACUUAUACGAUCAAAAUCAUAUAAUAUGUUAUUUUUUUAAUUAAAAUUAUCAUUAAAAGACAAGUGUUAAGUUAUAUGUAACUUACUCUCCUCACAUAAAUAAUAAAUAAGUCUCACAUUAUUUAUUGUUAAUAUAAAUAAGUGUAAAUUAUAUUAAAUCUAACAUAAAGGCUCCCUCAUUAAAAAAGCAUAUGUACUAUAUAUUAUUUAUUUUUUGUUUCAUUGUGACAAUUUUUUUUUACGACAACUAAGAUCUAAAAGCUCCAAUAUCUCAAUAUCAAAUAAGGUCUGGGUGUCGUAAUUUUAUAACUAUUCAAUCUCAAUAUCAAAUAAAACCUUAAUUUUCAAGUUAUAAUUGUUAGUUCUUACUAAAUAUUUUAAUAUUAUACCUUAACUUCAAUAUUAAAUAAAGUUUUUGACAAUUAGGCAAUGUAAUUCUUUCAUUGAUGUCUAAAUAAUUGCGUGAAUUAAUGUAAUAAUAAUAAAUAGAGUUGAACAUUGGCACCUCUCGAAAAUCAUGUUAAACCCCUUUUUUUAAUUAUAUUCUAUUUAAUAACUAACCUCUUUUUCAAAGGAGCUGCUAUCUUAUAUGCAACAUAAGGUACAACCUCUCACAAACUUAGAUGUGAGUUCUACUUGGGCCCACUAAUUUUGUGAGAGACUGUACCUUACGUUGCAUGUAAGGUAGCAAAAGCCAUUUUUCAAACAUUAUCUCUCUACACAAUUUAAAACACUAACUUUCAUAAAAUAAAAAUAAUCAAUAUGAAAAAGUAAGAAAAAAAUAAUAAUGUUUUAAAUUCGUGCAAAUCAAUUAUAUAUAUGAGAUUGGAAAAAAAAAAAAAGAGAGAGAGAGAGAGAGAAAGAGAAGCAAAUAUGAUUCAAUUAGUUUUGAGUCGUAAGGGAAGUAGAGGCAGCUUUAUUGGUUUAUUCUUGAACUACGGCAAAUAUUUCAACCUGAGCAUAGACUUCAAGUUCACUAACUAUAUGAGAAUUUAACAAUUGAUGGAAGACAUUCUUAGUAUUGCAACAUGAUUGAGUUUUGGUUAUAUACGCAGAUUUUAUUUAGAAAAAAAUAGAUUAAAGAAAGAGACUGAAAAAAAGGUGAGGUUAGUAUAAUUUCUAUUUAUUUUUAAAUAUAAUUAUAUACAUAAAAAAAAAAAAAGAUUUUAAGAGGAUUUGUGGCAACACUCCCUACUUCAAAAAUAUCGAACUGUUGCUCUUUGUGACCCAAGUGGGGGCCGUUUUUGUCGUAACCGCUGGAAGAAUCUGAACUUCUCUGUGGACUAUUAUUAAACAAUGGGGCGGUCAUUUCGUGCAUAACUUUAUUGCUAUCAGUGUCCAAUUUCUGGCGAGCAAAGUGCAAUUAACUAUUAAGACCAAAAUGGUAUCAUAACAACACAUUAGCUGUAUUCUCUUUACUCAAUGUGUGCCCAAAAUGCCUUUUUCCCAUCCCAGAAUUAUCGGAGGAAAUGAUUCUUCGUGACGGAAAAAAAAGUUUUGAUUUGAAAGAGAUAUGAUGAGUACCAGCAGCCAGUAUCAAAUAACAGUUGAGCAUAAAUGCCCAAACUUAAUCAGUCUAUCAGAAUUUUUUUUUUUUUCCCCUCUUUGUGAGAAAGUUUUGUGUUGCAGUAAUCUUUUACAGCCGUGGAGUCCAAAUCCAGACGAAUGACCCAACAUCUCCAAAUGAUUUAGCAGAUGUAGCCAACUUGGCCUAUUAAUGUUUUCAAUUGUUAACAAUUGGGCUCAUGAGGCCAGAAGAGGUUCCUGUCGACAAUUAUGCCUUACAAGACACAUCUCCAAUCCUAAAACUAACUACCAAUAUGCAACUACUUUUAAAAAUUCGUAAGUAUUAACAUCCUUACACUUGAAUCACGAUAAUAUUCUGAAAUUUUAGUGAAAUUUCGAAUAAUAUAAAUUCCUACCAAGAAGAAAGAAAGAACUUUACAUUGCGAUUUCUUACCAAAAGAAUCCACAAACCUUUUCGAAGCAAUCCUAAGACAAUCAUUUUUUCUUAAUAUAUUGGUUGUCCUUACGUUUUGAUGACAUGAUUGUGUGUCAAUCAAUUGAUUCGGCAACUUUCAGAAAUUCAUGGGACAUAUUAAAUUAAUCAAUUUAAUAUCGGACCGCCUUCUUGAAAGAUCCUAGUCUAAAAUUUUCACCGGCAUUUUGAAGUCACACAGUAGCAACCCACCAGUCAGAGGAUUUCACUAACUCAUAUUGAAAGAAAGAUAAAACAUAUAAUAUCGUUCCUAUCAGCAGCUUCGACAGUUACUUGGAAGUAUGUUUCAACAAGGACAUUUGACGGACAUUUAUUUGGAACUUUGUUCACAAAGUUGCAUCAGCUGGAAUUAUUUUAAGAGUUAUGUUCAUUUGGUAGAUUAUUUUACUUCACCUACUCCAUUGGUAUAUCCACCCGGACAAAUUGGUGAAAAGCUAGAGACGAAGAAAAACAAAGAAAACAUGACAUUAAAGUACAUCCAAAGUUUACAUGAACUUACCAGCAUAUAAGCUCUGGAAAACUGCAACCAGCUUCAGCAACACUGUCAAUGGGAACCCUCCAUAGAAACAGGGUUUCAAAGGAAACUAAGGCCAAUAACAGUUCACUUGACUCCCUCUCCUUCACUGACCUUGUAUGCAUUCAAGAUCAGCAAUCAGAGUCCAUUCCGACAAAUCAAAUUGGCAAACAUAAUCAUGAAUUUGAGUUCAGUACAGCUAUUCCCAGUCCCAGAUCAAUUACUCAGAAUUCCCCAGCUGUUGAGCUAAUUCCCAACAAUCAGCUUCAACUACACGCAUUCUUAUGUCAAUCAAAACAAUCUCACGUGAAUAACAUGCCUUGCUACAAAGAAAAACUACCAUCAUCACAGGACAGCCAUGGCCGAAAAGUUUCACAGAAAUCAAUUCAUGAAGUGAGAAACCAAGCAAACAAGGUGUGCACUGCAAAAAGUUCAUCAUUUGCCGAAAAAUUGUUCCGGUCAUUUGUCUCACCCUGCAGGGAAUGCCAUGCCUGCCAGCCUACGGUGAAAGCACAUAUCAUACCACAAGAAAAUACCAAGCGCAUUAGCUAAAGCCAUUCUUUCCACUAAUCAGAUCAACUGAAUUUCAUUUUGUCAUUGAGUUAUCAGAUCAAAACUGAAUUUCAUUUUGUCUUUGAGUUAGAUUCCAUACAGAUCAAAACUGAGUUUCAUUUUGUCAUUGAGUUAUCGGAUCAAAACUGAAUUUCAUUUUGUCUUUGAGUUAGAUUCCAUACAGAGACUUAAUUCAACCAGUCAUUGAAGUCAGCCUAACUGAAUGAAACUCAUCACUGUCAUUUUGCUUUUCUUGAGUUCAAUUCUUGGUUAGAGUAACAAUUAGAAUCUAGUAAGAAUAAACUCAGAUUAGAUACUAUUUGGUCACAGAAUGUUCUCUCUCUUCUCUUACUACAAGGGUUCUAUAUACAAGGACAAAUAUAGUUAUAGCCUUAAAGGUUUCUCUUACCUUUUGAGUUCUAUCAGUAUUCCCUAGUCAAAUAGUUAUUCUAUGUCACAAAUAUUAGCCGAUUGCACUAUAUCUAAUAUCAUAGGCUCAUUCAUCCAAUUUUAACUUUAUCUCGGCUUCUUGUCAUUUCUGUUAAGUCAAAAACAGAAAUUUUCAUCUUUAAAGAUCUCCUAGGGUAGGUUUAGGUUUAGGAAAUUUUCAUCAUUGAUCCAUGAACUAUAUAUAACUCUUAAAGAUAAAUUAAUCUCUAACAGUGAAUAUUAAGAUUGAAUACGCCCACAUUUUACAGGCUUUAUGUAAAUUGAAAAAGAUAUUAGACACCAUACAAUCAGUGGCAGAGCUACCUUGAGUUGAGGUUUAGGAAAAUGAAUUUAUUUGCACGCAUCACCAACUUGCCCUCUGAAUAUUAUUCUAUACACCUUGCCCCUUCCAAUUGAAAUAUUAUUUCUUUGCCCUUGCGAACAAAUUUGUAACCUAAGAGGAAUAGAAAAAUAAUUUACUCCUGGUAGUUGAUAUAAAUCUCCCUUUUUAUAGGCACGGCAUCGCAUCAAAAAACUGCAUUAUUGUUAACACUUGCUUAAUUUUCUUUGUCUAAAUUAACUUUCUAAUAUUAAUGUAUUUAAGUUACAAGACUUUCUACAUCCUGGAUCUUCUAGUUUUAAGACAAAUACAGGCAAAGAAAGAGCUAAGUCAUUUUGUGGACUGAAAUAUGAAAAAGCAACUGGGAUUUUCAUUCGAACGGUUGAGCAUCAUUUCAACAACUUUUCAAUUCAUCCACAAACACAUCACUCAUGAUUCUGUUCAGUUUUGUUUGCAUGAGUUAAAUUUCUGGAAAUAUAUUUAUUUUACCAAACCUAUUACCUCUUCUGGGAUCUACUUCCAAGAUGAAACAAACAAAGAAGCAUGAUAUUUAGCAACUGUGAGAGCACCUUAGAAUUUUCAUUAAACAGUUCAAAGGAAAUGUUUUAAUGGAAAUAUAAGCCACAUUUCAAAUUGAUUGCUAUCAAACAACUACCAGGUUACGAGCUAUUUAGCCAGUGUAAAACCAACUAUAAAUGUAAACCACAUAAAGGUGUUUCACAGGUUAAAAGACACGUCAGUAUUAUCAGAAGAGUAUAUAGAAACCUCAAUGAGAACUUGCAAGAGAUGUCAACUAUAAGAAAAGUGAGUCAGGUACCCACUAACUGACAGUUGCAAAGUUGGAGAAAAGUAAUGCACACAUUAUCCAUAAACAAAGGAAUCUGGAAACCACAACUACAAAUGAUGACACAAGAAAAUAAUAAUCAUAAAAGCAAAGAUCCACUUAUAUUCCAGCAAUGUAACUCAAUCCUUACAGAAAAUGGAAAACAUUAUACACACACAGACACACUGUGCCAAGUUGAAUUUUUUUUCAUUUUUUUUUUUGGGUUUUUUAUGUUUAGUUAUCUUUUUAAAGUUGGAGGGUGGGCAAAGUCCAAAUUGACUUUUAAGCCCUACUUGCACCUCCCCCAGGGAUGAGCCAAAGAAAACUGCUUGAAAACCACUCGGCUAAGCCCUUAGGGGCAUACCACACAGUUGAAAUUGAUAUUAUAGAUGCUAAACAGAUGGGCACUCUGCUGGCUUCUAGAUAGGCAGUUUAGACAUCCUAGCAACUCAUAGUUCUAUUUGCAAAACUAAUGUCUGACAGAUUACUGAGUUCAUAUCCAGGCUUCUUCUGGUAAUCACUGAUGGCAAUAGAUGCGUUGUAUAAUACAAAACCAAUAAAACCAUUUUGUUAGCUUCUAUUGAGUUCAACAAGGAAUCAUAUUAAUACAAAGAAAGAGAUCCCCAAGAAAGGGCUUUUAAAAAAUAAAAAUAAAAACUAGUUCAAAUAACCCUGAAAGCCUACCAGAGUUGGAAAUCAAGCCUUGUAAAUAACAUUCCCCAUAUAUUAUGGAUUAAAUAGUAUAUUCUCCUAUGCCAGAGUAACUUUUGAAACUAAAGCAGAUAUUUACUGUAUUUUCUCCAAUAAAUCAAGAAAAAGAAACAUGAAUAAUCCAUAAAGGAAAACAUAUCAUAAGAAAACUUAAAACAUUCACAAUAAACCUCAAUUUUUAACAAGUUAAUUUAGCCUUGAACAAACUGUCAACGACUUCACCAGUUACCGGAAUGGUAAGAAACUGUACAGACGAUACAAUAAUCCAGCCUAGCAUCUCAAGAUUUUCCAUACUUAUCAACAUAUCCCUGCAAGUAAAGGAAGCAACUGUCAAAAGCCAAGGACAAGUUAUACUCAACAUCUAAUAUCUAUGUCCAUCCUUGUACAAUUGUAUGCGUUACAGCUCAACUCAGAACACUCACCUCUACAAGCUUUGCAAUUUUUGGCUGGGAUGAAGAAAGAUAUUGCUUAGUUGAUUCCAUAGUGGUUGGAAUUUGGUGGGGAUGUAGGGUGGCAAGAACCUUGUCAACUGCUUUCUUAACUAUAGUGUUAUGAGCAUCCUUGCUGAGACGACCCUCACGCCAGCUUGGUUUCAACAAUUCUUUAACAAAUUCUACAAGAUCAUUACGGAAAUGUUUCAUCAGUUUUGAUUCUUUGCGCCCAUCCCCAUCAGCCUUAUGCUCAAGAUCCAUUUCACUGUUUUGUCUUGCCCGAUCUACUUUUGGUUCUUUAUUGCGUCUACACCUAUCAUUUUGAAUUCUACUAUCAUAUUUCGCAUUAGGUUUCUUUGACUUAGAAAUAUCUUUGAAAUAAGUGGAAACUGAGGGAUCAUUUUCUUUGGGCAUGGCACCAUUUUGCUCGUCAAUAAUAGAUGUUCCUACUCCUUCUUCACCGUCAGCAAGUGAAUCAUUUCUGGCUGUGCAGCAAUUCUUAUCCACCACAUUCUCACUGAAUCUACCAUGAGAUGAUACAGAACUUUUAUCACCAUUACAUCCUGGAACCACAGUAUUAGAUAACAUUGAAUCGCCACAUAGUUUCUGAUCUGAUGUGUUUAGGGCGGAAUCCCCUACACUAGAGAAAGCAAGU
rnacentral:lncRNA from 1 species